rnacentral:rRNA from 1 species
AUUGAACGCUGGCGGCAUGCCUUACACAUGCAAGUCGAACGGCAGCGGACCUUCGGGUGCCGGCGAGUGGCGAACGGGUGAGUAAUGCAUCGGAACGUGCCAUUGAGUGGGGGAUAACGUAGCGAAAGUUACGCUAAUACCGCGUAUUCUGUGAGCAGGAAAGCAGGGGACCGCAAGGCCUUGCGCUCUUUGAGCGGCCGAUGUCAGAUUAGCUAGUUGGUGAGGUAAAGGCUUACCAAGGCGACGAUCUGUAGCGGGUCUGAGAGGAUGAUCCGCCACACUGGAACUGAGACACGGUCCAGACUCCUACGGGAGGCAGCAGUGGGGAAUUUUGGACAAUGGGCGCAAGCCUGAUCCAGCCAUGCCGCGUGAGUGAAGAAGGCCUC